rnacentral:rRNA from 1 species
AGUGAACGCUGGCGGUAGGCCUAACACAUGCAAGUCGAACGGCAGCACAGUAAGAGCUUGCUCUUACGGGUGGCGAGUGGCGGACGGGUGAGGAAUACAUCGGAAUCUACUUUUUCGUGGGGGAUAACGUAGGGAAACUUACGCUAAUACCGCAUACGACCUACGGGUGAAAGCAGGGGAUCUUCGGACCUUGCGCGAUUGAAUGAGCCGAUGUCGGAUUAGCUAGUUGGCGGGGUAAAGGCCCACCAAGGCGACGAUCCGUAGCUGGUCUGAGGGGAUGAUCAGCCACACUGGAACUGAGACACGGUCCAGACUCCUACGGGAGGCAGCAGUGGGGAAUAUUGGACAAUGGGCGCAAGCCUGAUCCAGCCAUACCGCGUGGGUGAAGAAGGCCUUCGGGUUGUAAAGCCCUUUUGUUGGGAAAGAAAAGCAGCAGGUUAAUACCCCGCUGUUCUGACGGUACCCAAAAAAUAAGCACCGGCUAACUUCGUG